UGACUUGGAAAAACUGUAGAAGUGUUUGGCAUUUUCCACAUGUGGAACUACUGAUCUAAUUCUGGUUUCUUUCAUCCUUUUAUUUGGAUACAGCCAAAUAAUGUCCUCCUUCCACAGUAUUUCUGUGGGAAAAGAAAAAUGGAGGUCAGCAUGGAAUGAAAUCUAAUAAGCACGAAGAUGGCAAUCAAGACAGGAAGAGAGGAGAGACUGAAAGGCAACGGACAUAAAGAUAAGCUUGAUAAAAUAAGAAAAAGGGAAAUAUAUUUCCACUUCAACAGGGUGUUGCAAACAUAGAAGAGAGAAUACAGGUCACAAAAUUUUACUCUCAAAAUCUAGUAUCUACCAAAUCAUUGUGUCCUUACUGAUGUUGUGGCCAAUGAGACCACUGGGGUCCACAGUUCAUCCCUGAAAUGAUGCUCUCUGAGCCUUUUCCAGUGACCAGUGGAAGAACUUGUCUGUUCUUCUCAGCACGCAGUGGGUUUGCCAAGAGCUCUGGGAAGAUUUUCAGCAUUUGAGUGAUUUGGCCAAUGCCUUUACUACAAAGUGGAGGGGCGUACAUAAAACAAUCUACAGAAGUCGAGGGUGGCUUGGUCAGACUCCCGUGUGUGACUUAUUUGUCAAAUGCUGCAUAAAAAUAUGUAUUUCUUUUUCUAUAGACGCUGUGGAAAUUCAGAACAGACUCUCAUCUGUUAUAAAUCAAGGGAUCUGUAAAGUGGACCUAGCUUUUCUGACAGAAGAAUAUGAAAAUUUAGCAAUCCAUGCACAGGAAGGAUGUGGUGCACAGCCUGGCAGGCAGCCAGGCCUCCUUCACCUGGGACAGUCGGGAGACCAAGAUCCCGCUGAAGCAUGCUGCAACAUGACUCCUGCAAGCAGUUUAUUUAUAGAUUGAGAGCACUAAACAACACCAUUUUAAGUUCAUGAACUAGUCUUCAUGUUCCUUGCAGCAACCACAGGGCAGUUCGUGUCAGACUUGCACUGCGAAUAAAAGACUGGGGGCAUCUUUUCCGUUCUGUACU
rnacentral:lncRNA from 1 species